rnacentral:rRNA from 1 species
GAAAUCACAUGAGUCAUGCUUUAUGUUGGUGAUUGUGAUAACGUAAGGGAGAAAAAUGAUAGUACCUUACUAUUAGUGUUGUCCAAAACUGGUGCCAGAAGACUCGGUAAGGCCAGAGACGCAAACGUUAGUCGUCCUAAUCAGGCGUAAAGGGUGCGUAGGCUGCUUUAAAAGUUAGAUCUUUCAUUAAGCUCUUAGUACGUUUAUAUAUUAAUAUAUAAAAUUUAUAUUUAUCCGUACUAAGGUAAAGAUAGAAUUAAUAAAAGCUAGAAUCAAAACGAGGAUAAGCCAAAUAAUACUUAGAGUAGGGAUUAUAUCCGUAGAUACUAAGGGGAAUACUAAAGGUGAAAGCUUUUUAUCUAGAGAUGAUUGACGCUGAGGCACGAAGGUGAGAAUAGGAAAUAGGAUUAGAUACCCAGAUACCUCUCACUGUCAACGAUGAAUGGUGGUUGUUAGUUUUUUAAAAACUGGUAACGAGGUUAACACGAUAACCAUUCCGCCUUGCGAGUACGGUUGCAAAACUGAAACCAAAAAAAUUAGUCGGUCU